GAUGAACGCUAGCGGCAGGCUUAAUACAUGCAAGUCGAGGGGCAGCAGGUCCCGCAGCAAUGCGGGAUGCUGGCGACCGGCAAACGGGUGCGGAACACGUACCGAACCUUCCUCUACGUGGGGAAUAGCCCGGGGAAACCCGGAUGAAUACUCCGUAACAUAGUGAAGUGGCACCACGUUAUAACUAUUGCAGCAAUUCGCUUGAAGAUGGCUGUGCGGCUGAUUAGGUAGUUGGCGGGGUAACGGCCCACCAAGCCUACGAUCAGUAAAUGGAGUGAGAGCACAACCAGUCACACGGGCACUGAGACACGGGCCCGACUCCUACGGGAGGCAGCAGUAAGGAAUAUUGGGCAAUGGACGCAAGUCUGACCCAGCCAUGCCGCGUGGAGGAUGAAGGUCCUCUGGAUUGUAAACUUCUUUUAUCUGGGAAGAAAUCUAUUUUUUCUAAAGUAGUUGACGGUACCAGAUGAAUAAGCACCGGCUAACUCCGUGCCAGCCGCCGCGGUAA
rnacentral:rRNA from 1 species